CAUGCCGCGUGCAGGAAGAAUGCCCUAUGGGUUGUAAACUGCUUUUAUUUAGGAAGAAUCCCCACUACGUGUAGUGGGUUGACGGUACUAAACGAAUAAGGACCGGCUAACUCCGUGCCAGCAGCCGCGGUAAUACGGAGGGUCCAAGCGUUAUCCGGAAUUAUUGGGUUUAAAGGGUCCGCAGGCGGACUAGUAAGUCAGUGGUGAAAUCUCUCAGCUUAACUGGGAAACUGCCAUUGAUACUGUUAGUCUUGAAUUCGGUCGAAGUGGGCGGAAUGUGUCAUGUAGCGGUGAAAUGCAUAGAUAUGACACAGAACACCGAUAGCGAAGGCAGCUCACUAGGCCUGAAUUGACGCUCAGGGACGAAAGCGUGGGUAGCGAACAGGAUUAGAUACCCUGGUAGUCCACGCCGUAAACGAUGAUUACUCGAUAUCAGCGAUAUACUGUUGGUGUCUAAGCGAAAGUGAUAAGUAAUCCACCUGGGGAGUACGAUCGCAAGGUUGAAACUCAAA
rnacentral:rRNA from 1 species